CGAGAAGCAUGGCUAGUAUCUUUGCUGGAGGUUGUUGAUAUCAGGCUGAUUGGCGAGUGCAAAUGGCCGAAGAUUUAGACUGAAAACUAAAAAAAAAAAACCGUGCUUCAUCGAUGCCCGGCGCUGUCGGGGAGAAAUUUCUCCACCAUACAAGGAUCGGUCAAUCCGUCCGACUCCGCCGUGUCCUUGGAUGCCGGAACUCGAGCUUAACCCCGUCCUUCUUUGGACUUUUGCCCAAUCAACCUGCAUAGAUUACCGAAGCAUGGAGCUAAAGUUACCCGUUCGUUUCUCGAAGGGGAAGAAAAGAUUAAUUAGGGAUUGAGGAGUUGCUCAGUCAAUACACUGCAUUACAGAGGUAAAAAAUAACCAGCACCCGAAGAUGGGACACAUAGCACCUACUUAAAAUAAUACGAUAUCGCGGAUGCUGGACGCUGAACAUACUGAGGGGUGAGCUGACCGGUAUCAUGAAAUUCUCUACUCUAGAUAACGUUAGUCUCUUUGAGGAUUCCAGCAUCUGAAAAUAUCUGUGAUCAUUACAAUAACGUGCCAAAUCAUUGAGUGUACCAACAAAGAGGCAUCUCCAUAUAAAUUGCAGGCUUCUAUUACAAUGAAUAGUUAAAAAAAAAUGAACUCCUAACCCAUCAGCUAAAAUAAAAGAUCACACACUAGAGCAGCUGACAAGCUUUCAGGAGCCUGCAGCCCAGGCACAGUUCAGCCCCCUUGAAGAUCUAUACAUCAGAGGCCCAAGGUGCAUG
rnacentral:sRNA from 1 species